rnacentral:rRNA from 1 species
UACGAAGGGUGCUAGCGUUGUUCGGAAUCACUGGGCGUAAAGCGCGCGUAGGUUGCUUUUCAAGUCAGGGGUGAAAUCCCACAGCUUAACUGUGGAACUGCCUUUGAAACUGUAAAGCUAUAGUGUCGGAGGGGAUAGCGGAAUUCCUAAUGUAGAGGUGAAAUUCGUAGAUAUUAGGAGGAACACCGGUGGCGAAGGCGGCUAUCUGGACGACAACUGACACUGAGGCGCGAAAGCGUGGGGAUCAAACAGG